rnacentral:tRNA from 1 species
GGUCUUAUAGUUUAAUAAAAAACUUUAAAUUGCAAAUUUAAAAAUGUUCACAUUUACUAAGACUU